rnacentral:rRNA from 1 species
AUGCACGCUGGCGGCGUGCCUAAUACAUGCAAGUCGAGCGAACGGACGAGAAGCUUGCUUUUCUGAUGUUAGCGGCGGACGGGCGAGUAACACGUGGAUAACCUACCUAUAAGACUGGGAUAACUUCGGGAAACCGGAGCUAAUACCGGAUAAUAUUUUGAACCGCAUGGUUCAAAAGUGAAAGACGGUCUUGCUGUCACUUAUAGAUGGAUCCGCGCUGCAUUAGCUAGUUGGUAAGGUAACGGCUUACCAAGGCAACGAUGCAUAGCCGACCUGAGAGGGUGAUCGGCCACACUGGAACUGAGACACGGUCCAGACUCCUACGGGAGGCAGCAGUAGGGAAUCUUCCGCAAUGGGCGAAAGCCUGACGGAGCAACGCCGCGUGAGUGAUGAAGGUCUUCGGAUCGUAAAACUCUGUUAUUAGGGAAGAACAUAUGUGUAAGUAACUGUGCACAUCUUGACGGUACCUAAUCAGAAAGCCACGGCUAACUACGUG